UUGGCGGAGGCGGACAAUGGCUUUGUUGACUUACACAGACAUAACAAAACACAGCAACAUCGUUAUAUUACCAAAUGUCAUCAAUAACUAAUAUCUGUUGACUGAUAUUAAAAGCUUUUUUGUACAUACAUCACAAAUAAAGAUGCGUCUUUAAUGGAUUCCCACCUAUCCCACCUUUAAUGCAUUAGAUUACAUUAUAUGUAAUGUAUGUACAUAAUGUUAUGCCAUCUAAAUUUAUAGAUAUAAGUCUACACCUAUAUCAUUUAGGGCAAUAAAGACCUUUGUAAGAUAUAACCCAUGAGAGCACAGACACCUUUUUAUGCAGCAUAUCCCCUUUUCUCAGCUUUCUUCUGUAUUUUCCACAGAAGGGGUUCAAAUGAUUAUCAUUACAUUUUAUGGGGUGAUAGUAAACCAAACAAUCAGCAUAAAUGUGGCACAUGCAGAGAACCCCGUACAUCACACCGGCACCUGGGCCUGUUUAUAGCGAAACACCUGAAAUGCUUUAAAAAUGGAAAUUGAAUUUACUCCCCCCAAGGUUUUUUGAUGAAAGCGUCUUAGCUGGAAACCAAAGUGUUUAUCAAAUAGUUGGUGUGGCUGGCAGCUGCAAUACAAGUUAGAUUUGAGGCGACCUCAUUGAUUCCCAAGGCUUAACACUUGGCUGGAAACGAGAGAUGGAGAUAGACGGGAAGAUGGGCAAGAAGACAAGAAGCUGCAGUGUCACAGAGGGAGAACGCUGGAAAGCUAAUAUCAAGAGAGAAUAAGUGGCAAAGGGACUGUUUUUAAAUUGAACUAAACUAGGUGGAAAAAGAGGGAUUAAGAAGAGACAAAGCAGGGGGGAAGAAAUAAACAAAUCAGUUUGAUCUAUUUGAGACGCACAAGUUCCACUCAUCAAUUGUACAUCGCACGUCAGCACAAUGACCUCAGUUUUUCUAACGAUCAGAAAAAGUACAAGGUCAUGAGUAUACAGUUUUCUUUAUGGCUGAAAUCCAACAGUUUAAGACUGAGCAAACCUUUAUUUUAUUGAUUGAGACGUAGCAGUCUUCAGGCAAUAAUCUGUAAUAUGCACACAAGGAGGGUGAACUGACAACUCUGUCAAACAAGUCAUCUAUAGCCUCAUUUCCAAUGUCUUCUGGUGUCCACUGGGUCCAUUUAUCUCUUCAAGGGCAACACCAAAGGUAGCAACAACACACAAAAUGAUAGCGAGCAAUCAUGUCUGCACUCCAUCAUCUCUAAUGCCUUUUCAGAAUCGCCUACCAUUCGUCUGACGCUAUUUCUGCUUGUUGAUGGGACUUCGUAACAUCUCUGUCAUGCUUUUCAAAUCACCGGGUGAAAAGGGACAUUGUCACCCUGGAAAACGCCGCUCCCUUCCAGACGCAGAUUCAUCACGGAGAGAAAGCUUUGCAUGGGAGGCUUAGACAUAAGAGGGGAAGAAAUCAUGUUUCUGUUGUCUCGGCGUUCUUAGGAAUGACAUUGUUCCUUAAUGAAAUUACAGCUCGAUAUCUCAUAUUGAAAACCAACUAUGUAUGGUUUUUGUUUAUAAUUGGAUUGCGUGAAUGCUUGUCGCCUUGAAUAGAAACGACAUAUAAAAGAUGUAAUAGUAGCAAAGACAUAAUAACAGACACAAACACUCACACAGACUCACGCACUUAUAAAGUUAAGAUAAACUCAAACUCAGUAUAUUUUCCACUUUCAAAAGAGCGUAAUCCUCUCAAAGGAAAUAAGUUAGCUAUAUAUUCACAUGUGUUGCGGAUUCCCUUUACUCUUAAAGUGAGAACCACUAUAUUCUAAUGAGUAACAAAACAUACACACACGUACUUCCACACAAACAGGCAGAGCUAAAGGGCUUAGAGAAAUAAAAGGCACUAGACUUUUACGUAAACAAUAUUAUCCUGUCCUUGAGCAGAGGCAUUAUUCCAUUGAAAGCAUACACUUUAUAUGUAAAUGCCAGAAGUGAUGAUUAUGUUAUUCUAAUCAAAAUAGCCCUUUAAUAUUUUAUAAGUUGUGGGUGGAAGGCAGAAAAACAAACUGCGGCUAUAGCACACAACCUCAUGCGGUAAUGCUGUGACUGCUAACUCCUGCCUGUGUUUGCUGCGGAGGUGAUGAGAAUCCUAUAAGCCAUUUUUUGAUGUGACUUUUUUUGGCUCCAGAUAAGUGACUGUUACGCUUCCCUAAAUUAGCAUGUUUAUUGCUGGCUGUGUCUCUGCCAUGCCUGUUUGCAUAUCAAGCUUUUAGUCCAUACACCCUCCUACUGUUCGGUUUUAAGUUGUGGGAUUGUAAGGCACAUUUUAGAUGGAGCUUCCCACGCUUUUAGAGCAACAAUUGUUCUGUUGAAACAUUAAGCUCCCCAUUAUGCACUAUUGAUCUCCUCACAUAUUGUCUGCACUCUCUCUUGGCCCAUUUACAAGACUUUUACAAAAACAGGGUGUGACUUUUUAAUCACAAAGUGCACUCCAAUUUAAAUCUGCAUUAAAAGAUUUUUUGGCCUCUUUUCUGCUAAACAUCCAGCAGCAAACACAACACUGACAAUUAUCGGCAUUUAAACAGCUUUCUAAGUAUUUGUCAUGCAGGCAGGAAACAGCAUCAGCUUUUGUGUGGAGUCAUGUUUCCAGCUGCAUUGUGCUAGUCAGUCCAAGAGUCACUCUCCCUUUGUCGGUCAAUGCAGCAUCUUUCUUUUUUGAUAAGUUUGCAUCCUCUCUCAUUCUGGUAAUUAUCUAUUUCUGCUAUUUACCUUGUUUGUGAUAUAUUCGACUGGUAUCUUGAGAUGUAUAUGAAUUGAUAUAUUUAUUCUAUUUUUUCUAAUCAGGUUGACACAACACCCAAAACGCCAAAGAGAGGACAACCAUCUUCAGGCAACAGGAGCCCAGACGCAGCAGGGAGCCCUUUGAAUGCUGGAAAGAGACCACCCUUGGGUGAUGGGAGUCCAAACGGUCCCUCCUCCAAAAAAUCAUGUGCACACCCCCCUCUGGACCUCACUGGGCAUUUUCCACAAAAGACAACAAGAGGACGCUGCAGACAUUGCAGUAAAGGGUAUACUAAUACCAAGCGCAGCAAGUGUAAUGACCGCCUCUGUUUUUCAGAGGACAAGAACUGCUUCAAUGACUAUCACUGCAAAUAAUGUAAAUUAAUGUCAAAGUUGGUGUUGGAAUAAAUUACUCUUUAGAGCAACAUGACUGAGAUUAUCAUUCAUGUUAUAUACUGGUUUGGGAACAGCAAAACCCUGCAAAUGAAUCCUUAGUUCUGUAUUUCUGUUCAGACAAUGAGUGGAAAUACAGGAGAUUCUGCCCCCCAUGAAGCCCAACGUUGCAAUAUUACAACAUUUCCGUAAAAACUUACUAAAACAGAACAUUUUUGAAAACACUCCAUUUUCACCCCCAAAGGCCUCCUACAACAACAUCUGAAUGAUUGAAAAAAGUUUUUUUUGCGUUUUUCUAUAUUUGGGUUUUACAGGGUUAAGUUCAGAAUCCCAGUGUGGGCUUAUUCCAAAAACCUCACCAUAAAGACUUUAUAAAGAUUAAAGCCAUAACAAUGCAAAUGUAUGUAUUGUAUCAAAUUCAAAUUGUUCACACACCUUAAAAAUACAUUGGAGCAGCACAUGGCACACACAGUGCAUGUUAAAAAAACAGCAAAUACAGAAGGAUAGAGAUAACUCACAGGUCACUAUUUACCAAAUCUUUCUGACAUCAACACGUUUCUGUCUCAACUUGUAUUUAGACAAAAUGUUUCUUCAGCAAUAGACUUUGAUGAAGAUCUGUGGGGACAGUGCUGGCCAAUAUUACAAAAAGUGAGAUAUAGAGAUAUCAGACCACACUGUGAUGCAAGAAUACCAGAUAAAAUGUUUAAAAAAAAAAGUUUUUUUGACCUUGCCACAGACAAAACUGAUGGGAUCUUUCUAUUUGGGUUUGUUAUCAAUUAAGAUUCUCAAAAAUCUUGUUCACGUGAUUUUAGUUCUUCCAUCACCAUCGACAUGCAACUUCACUAUUUCAGCAAAAUCAUUCAAUUUGUAUCAAAUGCAAAAAUUAUUGAGCAUAAUGUGUUUGACACAGGUCAUUUAUAUAGAUAAGGAGAAAAAAUAGAGGUCCUGAAAUAGAACCUUGAGGUAUCCCAAACAAGAUCACAGCAUUCUCUGGCUCUGUGCUAUUUAUUUCACAUACUGUUCUCUAUUAUAGAUAUGUAUAAUUGUGUAGCCACUUCUGUAUAUUGCCCUCAAGUCCAUCUAAACAAUUCAGUAUCAAAUAUUACGAUUAACAGAAUAAAACGUUUUAGAGAGAUCCAAAAAAUGACCACACACAAACUCUUUUCUAAUGCAGUAUAUGUCUCAUCUACAAGCUGUAGAGGGUAGGUAGCAUGGAAUAUACAAAGUGUUCAUCUUAAAUUCUUCUUUCUUUUCUUAAAACAGUCACCUGUUUUGUUGAAGCUUUGAAACUUUGUUUUGUGUUGUUUUAAUUCCCUAACUCCUCUUUCCAACAAGGAGCUAAAAAAUGUCAAAACACCAGCAGAGCAGGAACACACUCUUACAGGUCUAUUUUUGAUGUGCUUUAAUGAGCUUCACACCUCCCAGCACUCAGUCAUGCUUGAAUCUCAAAAAAGAAAACACCAUAGAUGCAGCUUUCAAGUUAAUUUUUAAGCAAAAAUACAACAAGAAAUACAAUCACAGCAAUGAGAAAUGCAGGUUUGAAAUCACAUCAUUGAAAUUUAGAUUUAUAGGUAACAUCUAAAAGCAAGAGCUUAAGCUCAAAAUAUAAAAUAAUAUAAGGGUUUUAAUAAAAAGUUUGAUCUCUAAUUCAAAAUUUAUUGUUUUGGUCUAAAACAUCAAUGCUUUUUCUUUCAUGGACAUGCAAUCCACAGUAUGCCCUCCAGGAUUAGGUCUGAUUGAAACUGGCUUGAAACGAGCAAGAGUAUUAAAAGCUCACUAAUGACAUCAGAUAGAAAAAAAGACUUUGACCCACAUUGACCUGCAUUUUACCUCCGGUCAUUAAAAUCCCUGCUCUCCAUGUUCUGAGCUUUGCUGCAGUGCUUCACCGCUGCAUGAGUGCUGGAGUAUGAGACAGGGAGGGAGUAGAGAUGCUGCCGGGUCCCCUAGGUAUCAGAAAUUAGGUCACGCAUGCAGAGAAAUGAGAGAUUUCUGUGUACAAUAUACUGGAGUAAUUUAUGCAGGUUUUCAGGGUCUCUUUCCCCUCAGACUUGGGUGUUCUAUCUGCAGAUUCUUUCCCCCUCUUCUCCACAGGCCUGAAACAAAUCAGUCCGGCAUUUAUUUUUGGCAGAGCCGCAGUUAAUGAGAAGAGAGGAACCACGCUUCUCACAGCCGCUGUUUGUAACUUGUUUUGACUUAAGGUCUGAGUUCUUGAGUCAACACUGCAACAUGAGAGCUUGCACUUCAUUUUCUGAAAAAUAAUUACCUGACAUAGAGCUCUGUGAAAUCAGUUUUAAUUUGUCCCUUAUUCUAAUUUAAUAUGAAUUAGUGGUUAUGAUUUUACCAUACUAUACCUACUGUAAUGGAGCUUAAUUUAGUCAGUGUGCAAGAGACACAUAGACUAACAUAGAAAUGCUGGAUUCACCCAUACAAAAAUGUAAGGUCAGAUGCUUUCUGCAUUGUCUGUUACUAUGGUGAACUGCGCACUAAGCCACAUUAUCAUUCAAUGUUUGCAAUUUAUCAAGUUCAUGACCUGAAUUAGCGGCAGUGUCACCUCCCAGAUAGCAAGCGGGACCAAACUGUCACUCAAAGCUCUCACACCCUUCAUGAUUUGAAGCUGCACUGUAAUUCAAACAUGUGAGGGUUAUAUGAAAACUGACAGCUGACCGGUUGUCACGAUAGAGGGAAAUUAGCUAUAGAAAUGUGUUUUUUUAAUGGUUUAGCUGUACUAAUAUUGAGGCAUAUGGGUAAUGCUGCGCUUUUAAAGUCAGUCUGAAGUGGCCUAUAUGGGAGAGGUGUGGUUUUUAUCUGCUACAACCUCUGGGGUUGUUAUUGAGCUUUAAAUUCACCAGGUGCUUGAGUGGGUUAGCAUGCCCCACCUUAGGGACCACGGUCCUCGCAGCGGUCACAGGUUCGAGUCCGGCCUAAACCAUGUGCUGUAUGUCCUCCCCCUCUCUCUCUCUAUCUCCCCAUACUUCCACCCUGUCCUAUCAAUAAAAAAAGGCAAAAACUCGAUAGAAAAUACUAAAAAAAUAAAUAAAUUCACCAGGUGCUGUGGAGGUACAGAGGAAAUAACCCUGCUCCAAACUGGGAAAAUAAUCAUGGAAAAUGAGACUUGGCGAAUAGUUGCGCUAAAUUUGCAGGACUAAAGCAAGGAAAAGUAAUAGACAAACACAUAUUACAGUAAUUAUUAUUAUCUGUAAAGUGAAAAAAGCAAGUCUACAAAAAUAUGAAUGUAAGACUCAAAGUAGACUCAAUAAUACAACUAAUUAGUUGUGUGAAGAAUGACUAUAUGAAUCAGUCGAACAAGGCCAUCACAGAAGAAGCAAAGAAAAUUGAAACAUGACUUUGAAGGCUUCAUAAUGAAUUUAUAAUGUCCUGUUUUACUCGUAUUCUACUGAUUAAAUAUUCCAAUGUCUGCACACUGUACCUUCACAACUAAUAUUAAGCGACUAAUUAAGCCAAAGUCCUCGGAAAUGUAUAGAGACUCUGAGAUUUUGUUUUCAUUAAAGGACUGAUUAAAAGCCAGUCAGUGGCUGUUUCCGACUGUUUCAGCCUUGACAGAAAGUGGAAGACAGCUGUUGUACUGUAACUGUAGUUCAAUUGUCAACAUUUCAACAAAAUAAAACUGUGAUAAUAAAGAAAAGAACUUGAAUCAAUAACCUAUUUUACAUUUCUUUUCAGAUGACCUCAGUUCAGUGAUGAAGACGACAGGGUAUAAAAGGGAGAGGAUGUAAAACGGAGGAAAUAACCUUUAAAAUAUAAGAGGAAAAAAAACAUGCAGAUUUCAUCCCCUUUUUCUGAGUCAGUUUUCGAUCAUUUCCACUGAAACGCAUUAAGUAUUUUUAUAUUGAUUUAGCUGACAAGCAGGCGGACAGACUGGACCGAAACACCUCUAUUUCCUUCAUUUGUACCGGCAGCAACAAGAAAAUUGAUGUGAAAUACAGAGUCCGCAUUAAAAAAUACAGCAAACCCUCCCUGUCUGCACUGUCUGGGACAUUUUUUAAAACGGAAAGGGAAGUCAAAUGGUCAAGCAGCGAGACAGAACCAAUUUCGAGUUUCAUAAUGGACUUCCUCAAUAGUUUUGGUUGCCCCGUGUCUCACUAUCACACAACAAAGAGCUGCCAUGUUGAUGCUAUUGUUUCAUACCCUUUCUUUGGUCAAAGCAACUUUGUACUCCCGAUCCUGACAGGAGGGUUUCUGACCCAUAAUGACAGCCAGCAGCUCACAGCUCACAUCAGAGCGCUCCAGUGACGCAUAUACAGUGUGCCCUGGAGUAAACCCAGAUGAAGAUCCCCUCAGAGGUCUGAACUGGCGUUGUGUUGAGGAUAGUGCUGCAGAAUCAUGCAUUUCAAGCACCUCUAAGCCAGCUAUAGAAUACAAAGCCAAUGUAUGGAUGAAGAGAAAGGAAAAAAAAAACACAUCAACAUAUCGCUGACUGUGCUUAAAGGAAGAAUGCCGUCGAUGUGAAGCUGUCUGAAGUGGCGCGCGCACGCAAACGCGCACUCGUACACACACAAUCACACACAGACUGUCACACACACACACACACACCAGAGGAUGCUCUACCUUCUCAUUAAGGCGGUUAUGUAACAGGGCUAUCUGAAUGCAUAGCAGGUAAGAACCCUGCACCAAAAUGCAAGGCUUUCCUUGUCACAUGAAGAGAUGAGAAAACUCACCAGUCGUCUCCAGUGGUGCGUUGUUGAGAUUAUCCUGCAGCUGUGUUGGAAAAUAUUUUAAAACAGGGUGAGCCAAUUUUUAGAUAAACAUAGAAAACUAUUCAAAAUAUCCCCCCCAAAAAAGUAAAAAAAUCAACUUUACAAUAUCUUGUUUGGAUUUUUUUAUACAAUGUUCACACAGGGCUUGAAGACCUCCGGCACGGUGCAGGAAAUCUGGCUCAGGAUUUUUUUAUUUUUCUAAAUCAUGUAAAAAAAUAAAUAAAUAAAAAUAAAAUCCUAGUUAGUUAGAUCUGAAUACGACCAGUAGAGGACAGCAUUAUGCUGGAUAGCGUACAUCCUGCCAGAGAAGAAGAAGGAGAAGAAGCGGAAGAAGAAAAAGACGCAUCAGCGAGCGUCCAACAGCAAAUUUCAAACAAUGGAAACAAUGUUUUUGGAUCGCAGGGAUCCUCUGCAAAUUACGAUACAAUAGCAAGACGCUGCAAACAAAAAUAAAAAGCUCCACUUUUAAACAUAAGAGACCCCAAAAUCACCACACCAAGGGACUCUUCAUACUACAAUACCACCACUACUACCAUACUAUAAAAAAUUGACUUUUCAGGCACAGGAUUUUUUUCUGCUUCAAGCUCUGUUUAUGUCAAUGCUGCAAGUAAACCUUAGACCCUCAGACAGACGAUGGCAAACAACCAAGAAAAGGCUUUAAAAAAAUGUUUGACCAAUGCUCUGGUCACUUCUGUGAGCUCCCCUCUCGGGAAUAAAUUAGCAGCGUGGAAAUAUUUUGGAUCUCCGAGAAAGAAAAACAGAUAAAAGAGCACGCAGCAUGAACUCGGUGUUGAUAGAGGAUGAAAUUUACAGCAAAUACAAAAAUAAAGUUUAAAAAUCAUCCUUAUGCUAAAUCUGUCGGGUAAAAGAUGCUUUCACUCGGGGUUAUAGAAAUGUAGAUUAUGAAAGAUAUUUACUUUACAGAAUUGCAAACCAGAGGAUUUCAAAUCAUACUGCAUUGUAUAAUAUAAUUCUGCAUUGUAGCAUCCGUUGUAUUUUAUACUAUAACAUAUGUUAUGCUGCCUGCACUUCUUCAGCAUUUUCACAUUUUGGACACACUUCUCUUCGUCUAGUUUUGAAUUCUUUAGGAAGUCCCUCCCCACAGUCCUCUCGCCACUGUAGCAGAGUGCAACUGAACCUCUUUCUUUUUUUCCUUUUGUUUAAAUUCUUAAAAGCAGCGAUCAUCCCAGAGUGCUUCCUUCUGUUUUACUCUCGUUCUCUUGCCCUCCCGUCCCUGCUGAUGUGAGCAAAGUGGCUUAGAUGUGGUGACAGGGAAUGACUCCUCAGAAGCCCGGACAGCUCAAAGAAGCUUAUGCACAUUUAAGGUUGGUGCGAAAAAUACUUUAACAGAGGGGCAGAACGCUUUUGAUCUGAACAUUUUGGGAUAUCAGGGCGAGAACCUCUGCAGUAUCCGACACUGAGGCAUUUGUUCAGCAAGUAAAAAACUCGUUUUCUGAUAUGUUUCUAUCCUCACAAUUUUGAGGGAUUAUAAGAGCAUGUUAUCCACAAACAUACACUUCAUGAUGAAACCCACACUGAUCAGAUUAAAUGAGCCAUGUAUGAAAAGGUAUUUGUAUGUCAUCUUGAGUGUUUCUUAUUUCCUUCCAUGUACUAAAACUUUGCCUCUCGAAUGCAUUCCUUCGGAGGGCUUACUUACUAUAGAUGCACCACUAAACCAUUACUCAAUCCCUUCAGGCAAAACUUGUGUUCCAGGCCACCCAGCCCCAAAACUGCUCAUGAUCUUUCAGCACUGGCAGAGGAAAAGAAGCAAAAAUCUACCGCUGGAUGACUUAUAUUUAGAGCCUCGCCUCAUGAUGAAUUCUUGUAUUCAUGGGAUUUUACAGCGGCAGCAGUUGCGUGUGGUUCUUAAUGGUAUAUGCCUGUAUUAUUUCAUCUUUGCAUCCUGCACCAUAAGCUUUUUGCAGCAAUUUCUGCCGCCCACACGUUUUUUCCUUUUAAUAAAAGUAGUAUAAUCUAGUUUGAUGUGUAACUUAGAAGAAUGGCGAUUUGGAAAAACCUUGAAAAUGAAAUGAAAUAAGACCUCGGGGAACAAUGACAUUUAUUGUGUGAUCCUCUGGGGUUGAUAGGAGUAUAUUUUCCCAGUUAAUUCAUGACUUGGAGAAUUCUUAGAGGUCUCACAGAGGACUUGUAAAUCAUUGUGAUCCGUUUGAUGGAUGGGCAUCAGAGGCCCAACACUUAAACUAAGGUCCUGUGUUGGGAAAUGUGAUUUUAACCUCUUGGUGUGAGAAAUGGCCCAAUGCUUAUGAGCUCUUCAGACUCCCCAAGACACAAGAAGAUCACAUUUUUCUGCAAGUGCAUCCAAACAACAGACGGAAGAGUAGGAUGGCUCUGGAAGGCGCCCAAAUGUUCUGUUUUUCUUGGGUUAUUCAGAGGGCCAUGUGCUUCUUUUCUAUUAUCUGUGCUCAUUACCGUGGCAGGACUCUGUUGGAAAAUUCUUCAUUUUUAAGCUCUUAGGUGAAUGAUUCUUUUUAAUUACAAAAACGUAAUUAACUCCACACAAAAAUGUAAUUUGCAAUCUUCUCUGGGUGCAAUUAAAAGUGUGAGGUUUGCAGCAGUGUCAGUAAUCAUCCACCGCUCUUUCUGUGAGCCAAAUCAUGGCUAUUAUGAAACACCACAUUUCUUUUUUUUUUAAUAAAAUAACUUAAUUUAUUGGGAUUUUUCGCUAAAUGGAUCUAAAAUUUCAUGGGUAUUCUACUUUGUUGCCAACUUGAAUGUUAUAGACAUCAUAUAACAUCUAACAGUGGAUAGUUUAUCUCUUAAAAUCAGCAAACAUAUAACUGAUGAACAUUGAUUUUAGAAUAAAUGUACAAGAAGAAGAAGAAGAAAAAGAAGAUGAGUGUCACAAUUAAGUAGAAAGGUUGAAGGAGUAGAAGAAGUCAAAGAAGAAGUAGAAGUAGUAGAGAAAGAAGUAGAAGUAGUAAAAAAAGAAGCAGAAGAAGAUAGGUAGAAGUAGAAGAACUAGAAGUAGUGCAAGAAGAAGUAGAAGAAGAAAAGAGUGCCACGAUUACAAAAAAGACGUAGUAGACGAAGAAGUAGAAGAAGAAGUAGAAGUAGUAGAAGAAGAGGUAGAAGAAGAGUAGAGUGCCACAAUUAAGUAAAGGAAGAAGUAGAAGAAGUAGUAAAAGAACAACAAGAAGAAGAAUAGAGUGCUACAAUUAAGUAGAAGAAGAAGUAGAAGAAAAAGUAGAAGAAGAACAAGAGGAAAAAGAAGAACAAGAGGAAGAAGAAAUUUAUUGAUCCCUGGGUGAAAUUUGAUAAUAAAUCCUCUUUUUCAUAUUGCACCUUCACAAAUACAGCUUCAUUUGAUUCAAUCUUGAUCAAAAUCCUGAACACAGUCUUCAGCUUUGUAUUACAAAUUAUACUUUAUAUCUCCACCUUUUUAAUUUGUCUCGUUUACCUUAUAAAUAUGUAUCCAUUACGCUGAAAAGCCUCUCAUCUUUGAGUUUCAGAAGAAAACAUGCAGAUUUUAGUUCAGCCUACACUGUAAUGUUUAAUGACAUUUGGCAGCAGAUCAGGAUAACUGCAGGUCUUUUCACAGUUGGUCUUGGAGCAGCUAGACUUCAGAAGCUGAAGGUUAAGUGUGCCGCUCAAGGACAUCUCGGUAAAAGCUGGUGAGCUACUUUCUCAAGAUAAGAUUUCCAGAGCUUUUUUAUACAAAUCACAUUCAUUCAAGUGGGUUUUUGACCAAAAAAUACCGUUACUCAUUGUCUUGGUGCUGAUCCUUUGAGGAAUAGAUCAUCCUCUUUUGGAAACAACAUCUGGUAGCCUGUAGUAAAUAUAUGAAUAUGCUUAUCUUUCUGUGUGAUGUAAGCUGGCGCUGUAUACUUCAUUUCAAUAAUGUUAAUUUGUGAAACACUAAAACAGCUGUUGCUCUUCAGCCAGUAGGAAGAUUUUCAGUCUCCUUUUCGACAAAUCCACAUUAUAAAGCGGGGAAAACCUGACCUUGAAUUUGCAUCUUUUCGAGUAUAACCCAGCGUGAAGGUUGAGAGAGUGACGGUGGUUUAAACCUCGUGGAGAAGGCAGAAGACUGGCGAAAUACCAUACUGCCAUAGUCACACCGCAUGAUCAGUCUUACACUCUUGCCUUUAGGUGCUAAUUAACAGAUGUGUUAUUAACAUUAGCACUCAGUCAUUUUCACUGAUUUAAUCACAUGGUUGAAAAAAAUAUCCAACAGCAGUCAUUGAUGACUUAUUCACAGAUCACAUGCUUCAAGAUUCAUGUCAUUUAUAUAACUGAAAUUUAAAGGAGCGGAUUUUUUGCACUGUGUUUGAUAUCUGCUUAAAAAUGUAAGUGAAGUGAAACAUGCAGCAAAUUUUCAUCCUGAUUUCAGUUCAGAAGGUGGAAAGAAAAACCAAUACGAGCCUCACUCUAUCAUGUACUCCACUGAAGUACCAACUAUUUCUAUGCAUCUGGUGAUUCUUUUUCCAUUACAGACAGAUAGUGAAUAAUAACUCCACAGAAUAGAGGGGAAAAUGAAAUUCCUAUUAGCUCUAAUUACUUCUCCCAUUCAUCCUUGGAAAUGACAUGAAGAUUAAUGAAGCUCUCCACUAUUUUAAGCAAGGUUAUUUAAAUGAGUGAUUCUACUCUCUUUACAUCAUUGCAUUUAUCUCAGCCCGAGACACAUAUGUUAGAUUAUUUCUAAUCAUUUCUGCCUUCUUUUAUGAUUGGAGAUCCCGCUUAGUAUUCUCUACCAGUACCUUUAAGUGAAAUUCAAUGAAAAAGGACUCGCACAGAAAUGGCAGUAAAUAGUUUGGUGGUUUUUGAGUGAAAUCCAAACGUCUCUUCCAAAAUUUUAAUUAACAUGAUAGCUUUGGCCCCUGUCUCUCUUUAACAGAAGUAUUUUGAAUCAGCUUUUCAGCUUGUUGCAGCUCAUAUGAUGACAAACAGAGAGACAAGAGCCAGCAGACUGCCAUCAUUAUGCUUCAAGUGAACAAACCCAAGAGUGAUAAAUAGACACAAACCGGGCAGCAUUUUUCUCUGAACAUAUUCAAAUGUACUUUAGGAGUUAUGUAAAAUUCACUGAUAUACUGUGUGCAAUAACUGAAGUCAGCAGAAUAUAGGAUAGACAAUUUAACAGGAGUUAAAGUGGUUCACAAGUUAGAGAGCUGAAUUAAAAUACGAUUAACAGCAUGCCGUGCUGAACUAACUUAGAAGAGAACAACUGCAUUAGUGAAAGCCCAUUACACCAACUUCUCUUCCUACUAAUUCUUACUCUUUGUUGCUUUUUUUUCCCCUCUAUCACCUUCCCUAUCCUGUUUCUCUGCCUUUCUUCUUCACUGCCCCCGACUUCUCUGUACAUCCCUCCAUCUCCACUUCCUCGGAAACAUCCACGCAGAGAACAAUCUUGUGUUGUGUGCGUUAAUGGAGCAUAGUCGAGUGGAGCAGAGAUGGCAGGGGAAAGUGCCAACCAUGCCCUCCUACGCAAUAAUAUUGUCAUGUUAGAUUACCCAUCAGCCUGUUGGCACUGCCCUGCAUCUCCUUGAACCCACAACCCUGCUGAAGAGCAGCCAACUGCUAAUGGUGUUUUUCUACUGAGAGCUGUUGUUUUUCAGGCAGUGCGGGGUUGAAUCACACUGCUGCCUAUAGCUCUCAUUUUCAAAGUGCCUAUGCUUUACUGUGAUCUGUGCAACAUGUCGCCAAGUUACCGACUUUGUCCUGGCUAUUUUUAUUUUAAACCCUGUAUAAAUGUUUAUUUAUAAAUGUGAAUGUUAUGAGUGUCAAUUGUUCAGUGCCUUGCUCAAGCGUACUCAGAAUGUCAUGGGUGCAUUAUAUGUAACCCCAGCUAUUAUAAAAGUCAAGAUAUGAACCUGCCUGCCAUUAAAGCAGCACCUUCUCUGAGAAUAUCACAACACUGUGGGUAUCAAAUACCCAAGAGUGCUUCAGCAAACAGAAGUCAGAAACACUGAGCUCAAAGCCAGUCAUGACUCAUUAGCUUGAGAUUGUCAGUGUUGUGCAAGAUCACACUUAAAGUGAACUAUCUCAAAGACAAGUUCAAAAAAUUGAAAAUUAACAAGUUCAAGUUCAUUAUACAUUUAAACUGUGCCCAUUGUUAAAAAUAUGAACUACUUCAUCUUCAAUCUGUUUCAGCUGCUCUUAAAUUAUCUGUCAGUACAGCCUCCCAGACCUCAAUUCAACUGUUAAAUCAUGGACAGAUAUUCAGAAUAGAAACCAAGAAAAGUCCAUAUCAAUGUUUGGUUCUGCGCAAGAUUUCUGCCCAAUAAGACUUUCCAUGAAUCCUCAAAGAUAGGCCUGUCACUGCCUCAGGUAUAAUCAGGCCUUUUUCAGAAUCAGAAUACUUUAUUAUGCCAGAGGUGAAUCUUUAUAAAGAGGACUUGUAUUAGAGGCAGGCCUUUAUUUCAUUUACUCUCAUUCUCAGAUAAUUAUGGCUGUUAAUAUUUCAGAACAAAGUGAGAGCCUAAUUCACUAAACCUGACUAAAAAUACACAUAAUAAUACAAUAUAAUGUAAUUCAAAGAGGGUUUAAUGCUCCGCAAACCGCACUUCUGAGAUAACUGUGUCUUUGUGUAAGUUAAGAUGAUCCAUCAUUUGGACUAAAUUACAUUUAUCUGUGUGUUUGUGCAAACGAGCCUCUUUACAAAAAAAUAGAAAGUUACAAACUAUUAGAGAUUUUUACCAAGUUUGCUUGAGUAUCAAUGAGGAAUAUCACUUUCAACUCUUACGACAAUGACUUUGGACGGCCUAGAAAUAAUACGUCCACACAUAAGUCUGUCAGUAUUACAGUAUGUCAACAUUUCUAUGUUUAUUCAUUGUAAAUGUAACGAGGUAGACAAAGUUUGAGCCAUGGACGGAGUCUCAUACUAGUUUCCCUUUUAUUAUUUCCUUUUCAAGUUUAUCUCCUGUCCCCUAACCCUGAACACUCAGUUACAGAGCCAUUAUGCACAACAGAGUAUUUAUUUACUUUCAGAGGAGGAUGUUUUUUACUCGCUGACUCCAGGAGGAAAGAUGGUUAUAAACUGUGAAAUUUGUCACAUCUGUCACAAAUCGACUCCUCUCCAUAAAAAGAUGGGAAUGAUGGGAACAUAUACUAUAAGUGGAUUGAAUUUAGUGCAGUUAGGAUGAGAGCUCAAAGAGCACCGGAGCAGGAGAGGAGUUGCCGACAGUUAAUGGCUGUCUCAACGAAAUAAAAACGGGAGCGAACCGCACGAAAAUGGCCUGUGAUGUAGUUCACUGCAAAUCUGACAUCAUAAUAGCGCUGAAUGUAUGAAUGGCAGUGCAGGAAGUCCCAUGAUUUCCAUAUUUACAUAAUGAUAUGAAAUGAAUUCGCCAAUAACUGAAAGCUGGCCUUGAUUCACUCCUACAGCUCAUGAUCAACGGGCUUGGGCACAGAUUGGACGCCAAUCUCUAUUUGAGGAUUUACAGUAAUCCACCAUGAGCAAGGCACUUUGAAUCAAAACUAGCAGCAGCAACAGUGAGGGGAAAAAAAAGAGGUUUCACCAGGCAGAACCCUGAAGCAGAGCUGAACUCGUGUUUAUGAAAAGUGAAAAAACAGAUGACCUUGACUAUACGAUUAAAAAACAUUGAAAUAAUCACUUGGCAUGACAAAAGCAUCAACUAGUCCUUUAUGUCCCAGACGUCCGUUUGUAUAGGACAGGUUUCAGCCGCGAUAACAGGAACAAUAGCUGUUUCGAAGUCUGUUUAAAUGUCAUUCACUUCACAAAUAUCAGGAACUGCUUCUGAUGGAAUUUAUUCUACAAACUGGUCAAAAUUUCCAUUACACUGAAUAAAUUUCAUGUUUGUUCUGACUUCCUCGAAACCCUCAGACUUCUCUUUAUUCUGAUGCUAGGUCUCUGUGUUAAAGCGUAGAUAUUUACUUCACAACCCACGCUGUGCACGAGCUGCCACAGACUAGCACAUCCCUUUGUUCUGUGUUUUUUUUCAAGGGUAGGAAGGAAAACUGAGGGGGCUGAUGUGAGAGGAGAAUAAGUACUGAUGGCUAAAAACGGCUGAGGGAGAAUUUUUGUUAAUUAGUGAGGCAGGCGUGGAGGUUACAUUAUGUUAAAUCUGCAUUCAUGGCAUCAUCUAAUUAACAUUCAGGUUUUCAGUUUGUGAAUAUAUUAAUUAGGAUUUGGAGGAGAGAGGAGGGAUUGUCAACAGAGGACUCAAAAAUAAUCAAUGGUUGAUUAAGGCAUCAUUUUAAAACCUCUUCUUUUGUUAAUUGACAAACUCUUGAUUUUUCUGCAGUUGAUUUUUUAUUAUAUUUUAUCUCCAAAAUUCUGAAAAUACUCUUAAAAAUAGUGAACAAAAUAUUUCACAUUCAACCAAGGUCUUCAAACCAUUAUGUUUUCCACACAGCUUUACAGAAGCAUUUUCAAAUCCUCUAUUAUUUAAAGGUCAUUAAAGGUACAGUGUGUGGUAUUAAGUGGCAUUUAGUAGAGUAAACUCAGUUUAAGUGUUGUUUAAUAUUUGAGUGUUGGAAUUAGUGUAUAAUCACUUGGAUAUAGACAUUGUUUUGCUUUUGUUAACUUAGAUUGCUGUCCAAGCUCCACUCCGUACUGGACAAUGUCCCCCACUCUCUCCACAGUGAACUGGUCCUGCAGAGGUGCACCUUUAGCAGAAGGCUCCUCGCUCUAAGAUGCACCACAGAGCGCCACAGGAAAUCUUUCCUGCCGGUGCUCAUUACCUGGACUCUGCUCACUGUUUUAGAUGAAUACGAUGUUACAAUUUGUGUUGUUUAUAGUGUAAAUACUUGUAUAUUAUCUCUUUAUUUUUAUUUGUUUUACCUAUCUUAUCUAUGUAUCUCUUUAUUUUUACUUGUUUUAUCUAUUAUUUAUCUCCUCUUUUUACUGUAUUUGCACUGGAGUACUGUGACUAAAGAAAUUUCUCCCUGGGGAUUAUUCAAGUAUUUCUGAUUCUGAUUCUGAUUGAGGCCAUAUCUCCAAAAAAGGCUGCCAUCAUGCACCGCCAUUUGUAUUGGUAGGAGUUUGUUGGUGAAAACUUGACAAAUUCAAGGCCAGACUUACCAUAAAUACCAGGAGCUUCUUGUCCUCGAAGACCACUGUCAGGACUUCACCGAGGAAGGUGAGCAAGGGAGCAUUUCAAUCUGGAAUCAACUGUAAGAAAAUCACUAAUUAUUCCCAUUUCUACACACUUAAAUUGAAAACAUCCAACAUUCAAAUAUGCUUCUUUUCCUUGCUUUGAGUGGGAAGAACUCAGUAAGCAAUAUCUACAAAUCUAAACUGAUAAUCUAGUUUAUGAUUGAUGAGAAUAUGAAAACAAGUCUUGCACUGAUAAGCUCCACUGAACACAUACACGCCUUCAUUCCUGCUGCAGGUCUGCGUUUUCUGUUCUGACUAAGCCGAAUG